UACGAAGGGGGCUAGCGUUGUUCGGAUUUACUGGGCGUAAAGCGCACGUAGGCGGAUUGUUAAGUCGGGGGUGAAAUCCUGGAGCUCAACUCCAGAACUGCCUUCGAUACUGAGAGUCUCGAGUCCGAGAGAGGUGAGUGGAACUGCGAGUGUAGAGGUGAAAUUCGUAGAUAUUCGCAAGAACACCAGUGGCGAAGGCGGCUCACUGGCUCGGUACUGACGCUGAGGUGCGAAAGCGUGGGGAGCAAACAGG
rnacentral:rRNA from 1 species